ACAAAGGUUUUAUUAAAAACCUUAUAAUCAAUGCAAUAAAUAAUGU
rfam:Lutibacter flavus strain DSM 27993 genome assembly, contig: Ga0070584_14